ensembl:lncRNA
UGCAACUGAUUUUUUUCUUUUGUCUUUGUUCACAGAUAUGUGAAUGUGGCCAUGCAAAGCGUGUGACAUUUCAUUAUCUACCCGGUAUGAAUUGCUAAAACAUUUUAGGCUGAAACAUUUCCACUAUGGUCGCAAUUGCCGGUAUCCCUGUCUAUAUGCAGAUUGCCCAUGUACAUUCACAAGUUGGAAGAAUCUUUUGAGUCACACAUAUCAAACACACAGGAAGUUAACAGCAGCAAAUGUUCAGUUAACUACAUUCUUUUGUCAGACGUGUGCAUGUAAGGAAAUUUUAACUGAAAAGGAAUACUUUGCUCAUGUAAAUCAACAUCUUAGGCAGUAUGAAAACGUAACUUGUAUGUUUAAAGGAUGUACGUUUGAGACAAACAUAUAUGGAACAUUUCACUCGCAUAAAAAUCGUAAACAUAAUCCCUACACUCUAAACGAUUUUAAGGCAGGUGUUGUUAAACUCGCUGCUCAGUCAGACGAAUCUGGUAGUACUGUAGAUGAUAGCCCCUCAUCUUCUGCUGACAUAGAUUUUGUACCUCCGUUAGAUGCAGAUAGUGAUAUAGAUACUUCAGAUGACCUGCCGAAAUUAGUAGAACAAAAAAUAGCUGCAGUUUUUCUGAAGUUGGAAAACAUUUUUCAUGUGCCAUCUACAGCUAUUGAUGAACUACUUGAUGAACUACACUUCCUCUUAAGUACUGUGUCUGUGCCUGUAACUUGUAGCAGUCUUUCAGAUUUUUUCAAAAACAAAAACCUUGAAGUUGAUAGCUUAAUUAUUAAGGAACUAGCUGAUGUACUGUGUAAAUCUAACCCUUUAGUAAAAUCAAUAGGGAAAGAUGGUCCCCUUUCAACAACUUAUAAGAGAAAAGAGUACUAUAAGGAUUUGUUAAAUAUUGUUGAGCCAGUGGAGUUUAUUCUGGACCAAAAAAAGAGCAGGACAUUUCAGUAUAUCCCAUUACUGCAGUCUUUACAGCAGCUACUUGAUUGUACUGCAGUGUUAAACGGUAUUAUCAGUAGCCACGGAACACAGGAAAGUACAGACCAGUUAGAUAAUCAGCAGUAUCGCUCUAUAAGAGACGGUUUGUAUUUUAAGGACAACACUUUCCUGUCAGGUGAUGAGUUGCGAAUUUGUUUAACUUUGUACAUCGAUGAUUUUGAGCUAUGUAAUCCCCUGGGUACAUCGCGAAAAAAACACAAAUUGUGUAGUGUGUACUGGAUUCUGAAUAACUUGCCACCAGGCUCUCAUUCAGCACUGUCUUCCAUUUAUUUAACGGUUUUGUGCAAAAGUGACGAUGUAAAGGUAUAUGGCUAUGGAAAAAUUCUAGAGCCACUUUUACAAGACCUUUGUACUUUAGAAGAGCAUGGUGUUUUCAGCUCAAAACUUGGGAAGUUUGUCAAAGGAACAGUCCAUAGUGUUGUAGCGGACAAUUUGGGAGCCCACGGAUUGGCUGGUUUUGUAGAGAGCUUCUCUGGCCAGUAUAUUUGUCGAUUUUGUACUGCUCAGAAAGUAGAUAUUCAAACAAGGGAUGUUCAUUCAGGUGCUUUUUUGCUUCGAACAAAAGAAAUACAUGAAGCACAUGUAAAGUCUGCACAGGAAACUGACACAAAUUGCUUUGGUGUGAAGAGAGCGUGUGUUUUAACAGAAAAUCUUCAACAUUUUCACGUUAACACAGGCUAUCCCCCAGAUAUAGUGCAUGACUUAUUUGAGGGUAUUGUCCCUUCUGAACUGGCACUAUGUUUCAGUGUUCUCAUCUCUAAGAAGUAUUUCAGUCUUGAAUGUCUUAACACACGAAUCGUCAAAUUUCCCUAUAAGUGGAGUGACAAAAAAAAUCGAUCUCAAGUUAUACCAAACAGCUAUUCAUGUAAGAAGACAAUAGGUGGCAACGCCCAUGAGAAUUGGAAUCUAAUUCGAUUGCUUCCAUUUCUAGUAGGAGACUUGAUUCCAGAGGAUGAGCUUGCUUGGCAAGUGAUAUUAGACCUGAAGGAAAUUGUAGAAUUAGCUGUGGCACCAGUUCACACUGAUGAGACAAUUGCUUAUCUUGAUGUCAAAGUGUCUGAACACAGACAGAGACUACUCGAGCUUAACCCGGACGUAAAGCUUUUACCUAAACACCACUAUCUUGAGCAUUACCCGCACCUGAUUAAGUGUUUUGGGCCUCUUCUAGGUUUAUGGACGAUGCGAUUUGAAGCUAAACAUAGCUUUUUUAAACAAGUAGCUCGACACACAAAUAAUUUCAGGAAUAUUGCACUCACACUGGCAGCCAAACACCAGCAAUUCAUCAGUUACCACAUAUAUUCAUCCACACUCAAUACAUCAAAUUUGGAAGUUUCAAAUGUCUCUACAGUCCAGGUUGAUGUUCUGAAUAAGGAAGUUGUGUUGGCUCUCAGGCAGAAGUAUCCAAAUAUCAGUCAAGUUCACCUUGCAAAAAGUGUCACCACUAGAGGAAUUAACUACAAAAAUGGAAUGUUAAUUGCAUGUGGUUCAACUGCUGGAAUGCCAGAAUUUGCAGAAAUUCUACAAAUGUGCAUAAGGGGAGAUGAGCUGAGUUUCAUUGUGCGUUUAUUGUGUGCAUGGUAUAGAGACCACUUCAGAUCUUUUGAGUUGACUUCUUCACCAGGUAAAGAGGUUGCCCUGGUUCAGCUUGAAGAACUGACAGACUGCUAUCCACUUGUGGCCUAUACAGUUUGUUCCAGACGUAUGGUAACCCUGAAGAGACACAUCGUCAUCAAAGGUGUUAUNNNNNNNNNNNNNNNNNNNNNNNNNNNNNNNNNNNNNNNNNNNNNNNNNNNNNNNNNNN